rnacentral:rRNA from 1 species
GAUGAACGCUGGCGGCGUGCCUAAUACAUGCAAGUCGAGCGAACAGACGAGGAGCUUGCUCCUCUGACGUUAGCGGCGGACGGGUGAGUAACACGUGGAUAACCUACCUAUAAGACUGGGAUAACUUCGGGAAACCGGAGCUAAUACCGGAUAAUAUAUUGAACCGCAUGGUUCAAUAGUGAAAGACGGUUUUGCUGUCACUUAUAGAUGGAUCCGCGCCGCAUUAGCUAGUUGGUAAGGUAACGGCUUACCAAGGCAACGAUGCGUAGCCGACCUGAGAGGGUGCCGGGCCACCCGGGCACCGACACCCGGCCCAGACCCCGCGGGGGGGACGCAGUGGGGAAUCUUCCGCAAGGGGCGAAAGCCUGACGGAGCAACCCCGGGUGAGUGAUGAAGUUUUUCGGAUCGUAAACCCCUGUUUUUAGGGAAGAACAAAUGUGAAGGUACCUUUGCCCUUUUUGGCGGUCCCAAAGCAGAAAGCCCCGGCUAACUCCGU